rnacentral:rRNA from 1 species
GACGAACGCNGGCGGCGUGCCUAAUACAUGCAAGUAGAACGCUGAAGGAGGAGCUUGCUUCUCUGGAUGAGUUGCGAACGGGUGAGUAACGCGUAGGUAACCUGCCUGGUAGCGGGGGAUAACUAUUGGAAACGAUAGCUAAUACCGCAUAAUAGCAGUUAUUGCAUGAUAACUGUUUGAAAGGUGCAAUUGCACCACUACCAGAUGGACCUGCGUUGUAUUAGCUAGUUGGUGGGGUAACGGCUCACCAAGGCGACGAUACAUAGCCGACCUGAGAGGGUGAUCGGCCACACUGGGACUGAGACACGGCCCAGACUCCUACGGGAGGCAGCAGUAGGGAAUCUUCGGCAAUGGACGGAAGUCUGACCGAGCAACGCCGCGUGAGUGAAGAAGGUUUUCGGAUCGUAAAGCUCUGUUGUAAGAGAAGAACGAGUGUGAGAGUGGAAAGUUCACACUGNGACG